rnacentral:rRNA from 1 species
UACGUAGGGUGCGAGCGUUGUCCGGAAUUACUGGGCGUAAAGAGCUCGUAGGUGGUUUGUCGCGUUGUCCGUGAAAACUCACAGCUCAACUGUGGGCGUGCGGGCGAUACGGGCAGACUGGAGUACUGCAGGGGAGACUGGAAGUUCCAGGUGUAGCGGUGAAAUGCGUAGAUAUCCGGAGGAACACCGGUGGCGAAGGCGGCUUCCUGGACCGACACUGACGCUGAGGCGCGAAAGCUAGGGGAGCAAACGGG